rnacentral:rRNA from 1 species
UACGGAGGGGACUAGCGUUGUUCGGAAUUACUGGGCGUAAAGCGCACGUAGGCGGAUUUGUAAGUCAGGGGUGAAAUCCCGGGGCUCAACCUCGGAACUGCCUUUGAUACUGCAAAUCUCGAGUCCGGAAGAGGUGAGUGGAAUUCCUAGUGUAGAGGUGAAAUGCGCAGAUAUCAGGAGGAACACCAAUUGCGAAGGCAGCUCGCUGGGACGUUACUGACGCUGAGACGCGAAAGCGUGGGGAGCAAACAGG